GUGCCAGCAGCCGCGGUAAUACGGAGGGUGCAAGCGUUAUUCGGAAUUACUGGGCGUAAAGCGCACGUAGGCGGCUUCGUAAGUCAGGGGUGAAAUCCCACGGCUCAACCGUGGAACUGCCUUUGAAACUGCAAAGCUUGAAUCCUGGAGAGGGUGGCGGAAUUCCUGGUGUAGGAGUGAAAUCCGUAGAUAUCAGGAGGAACACCGGUGGCGAAGGCGGCCACCUGGACAGGCAUUGACGCUGAGGUGCGAAAGUGUGGGGAGCAAACAGGAUUAGAUACCCUGGUAGUCCACACCGUAAACGAUGGAUACUAGGUGUCGGGGACUUGAUCUUCGGUGCCGUAGCUAACGCGUUAAGUAUCCCGCCUGGGGAGUACGGUCGCAAGGCUGAAACUCAAUGAAAUUGACGGG
rnacentral:rRNA from 1 species